UGCAAGUCGAGCGAGAAAGCUCCUUCGGGAGUGAGUAAAGCGGCGGACGGUUGAGUAACACGUGAGAAUCUGUCCUCUAGUGGAGAAUACCCUCGAGAAAUCGAGGCUAAUUCUGCAUAAGUCCCUUCGGGGAGAAAGGUGGCCUCUUGCUAUCGCUAGAGGAGGAGCCUGCGGACUAUCAGCUUGUUGGUGAGGUAACGGCUCACCAAGGCUAUGACGGAUAGCUGGCUUGAGAGAGUGGUCAGCCAGAUUGGAAUUGAGAUACGGUCCAGACUCCUACGGGAGGCAGCAGUGAGGAAUAUUGCGCAAUGGGCGAAAGCCUGACGCAGCGACGCCGCGUGGAGGAUGACGGCCUUCGGGUUGUAAACUCCUGUUAGGUGGGAAGAAAUCCCCAGCUCUAAUACAGUUGGGGGAUGACGGUACCAUCAGAGAAAGCACCGGCUAACUUCGUGCCAGCAGCCGCGGUAAUACGAGGGGUGCUAACGUUAUUCGGAAUUACUGGGCGUAAAGGGUGUGUAGACGGCGUGCUAAGUCGGUUGUUAAAGACUCCGGCUCAACCGGAGAGAUGUGGCCGAAACUGGCAUGCUAGAGGAUGGAAGAGAGAAGUGGAAUUCUCGGAGUAGCGGUAAAAUGCGUAGAUCUCGAGAGGAACACCGAUGGCGAAGGCAGCUUCUUGGUCCAUUCCUGACGUUGAUACACGAAAGCGUGGGGAGCAAACAGGAUUAGAUACCCUGGUAGUCCACGCUGUAAACGAUGAUCACUAGACGUCGGAUUUGUUUUACAGAUUCGGUGUCGCAGCUAACGCGUUAAGUGAUCCGCCUGGGGAGUACGGUCGCAAGACUAAAACUUAAAGGAAUUGACGGGGGUCCGCACAAGCGGUGGAACAUGUGGUUUAAUUCGACACUACGCGAGGAACCUUACCUAGGCUUGACAUGCAUUUGACAGCCGUAGAAAUACGGUCUUUUGAAUUUCGGUUCAGACAGAUGCACAGGUGCUGCAUGGCUGUUGUCAGCUCGUGUCGUGAGAUGUUUGGUUAAGUCCUCUAACGAGCGCAACUCCUACUGUCAGUUGCUACUUGCGUGAGCAAGGCACUCUGACGGAGCUGCCUGGGAAACCAGGAGGAAGGUGGGAAUGACGUCAAGUCAGCAUGGUCCUUAUGUCUAGGGCUACACACGUGUUACAAUGGCCAGUAUAACGAGAUGCAAGUCCGCGAGGGCAAGCGAACCUCUUAAAGCUGGUCUAAGUUCGGAUUGGAGUCUGCAACCCGACUCCAUGAAGUUGAAAUCGCUAGUAAUCGCGCAUCAGCAACGGCGCGGUGAAUACGUUCUCGGACCUUGUACACACCGCCCGUCACACCACGAAAGCUGUUUGUACCCGAAGCCGCCUUAGCUAACCUGUAAAGGAUGCGGGCGUCU
rnacentral:rRNA from 1 species